UUUCAUAUUUAUGCAUAAAGCAAGGUAUGUUUAGCAGUCAUAAAAUGUAAAUUCAAGAAACUGUGUAGUCAAUACUUUUUAAAAAUCUGAAGUAGAACAUAAAACUAAAAAUUUAAGAAAACAUAAAAAUCUCUACAACUUUAGAUUUGGAAUUGAAUUGAGAUACAACACUGAAAAUUUAAUCUGAAGAAGGAAAAAGAUCAACUUUAUUAUCAUUAAAAACAAAUGAAUUACUCCUGCAGCAAGUGCAUUUUGCCAAGGAGCAAGAGAAGCAAGGAGUAACUGGCUUAAUUACUGUUAAAAUCCUUUGCUUUGUGAAAACAAUGAGACAAAGCACAGAUUUACUGCAAAUCACUUAUGGAAUCAAGGACUUUGUACCCAGAGCAUAUAAAGAAGAAUGAUCAUAAUUUGACAACAAUGAAGCAAACAACCCAUGUUAAAAAGUGGAUUACAAAUAAGUAUGUGAAAUUGUGCUUCACCAAAGUCCAUGGUCUUUACGGAAAUAAAAAUUAAAGCCACAGUGAGAUAACAUAGAAAAGUAUCAUGAAAAUGGAUAAAACACAAAAUUAAGACCUUAUAAGAGCAAGCGCUCAAAGGAGGCAGAAUGAUUGCAGCCUUUGCAUGCUGCUGGCGGGAAUGGAAAGUGGCAUAGCUACUCUGAAGAACAAACUUCAUAGUCUCCAUACAUAUGGAAUAGGACCCCAGUGUAUGGAAUAUUUAUGUACAUAAAAGCUUGCACACAAAUAUAUUGCAAUUUCACCUCUAGUUGCAGCAAACAAGUAACAAUCAAGAUGUCAUUUCAACAGCUAAAUGAAUAAACAAAUCAUGGUUUAUCUGUUCCACCCAUGCAAUGGAAUAAUAUUCAGCAAUCAACCAGAAUGUUGAAGGUCCCUGCGAUAGAAAACAGACCAUGGCAAAGAGUGCAGGAUAUAUUUGACUUGAGAUGGACAGUGACAUGACAGCUGAAGAUGACCUGUGGAAUCCCAAGAAAUCCUGGGAACAAUGCUAAGCUUUGUACAACUCCAGAGUUCAUCGUACUGGAGACUUUGCCCUGAAUGUCUUUUCUCAUAAUGGAGAUAACAGGCCUAACACAUAAAUCUCAGAGUAAAUAGAAAUGGUUCUGUGGGCCAAAAGGUGCUAAAGAGGACAGGCAAUGACAGAGCCAGCCCUAAGUGAGCCCAGGAAGCAGAAAGUGAGCAGCACAGCUGCCUACAUAACUAAAUCAGUCCACCCAGAAAUCCAUGUUGUAAGAAGUCACUGUCCAGGUCUCCCAAGACACAUUUGCAAGGGAAGGUUCCAGGCAGCAAGAGCAGCCCCAGGAAACUUUAAUAUACAAUGGAAUCUGGGUUAAGCACUAUCUUCUCCAAAAGUUGAGCUCACAGGACAUUCCCCAGAAACCUCUGGAGAGGUGGGGAGGAAAGUUUCUGGAGGUCUUUGGAUGAAGAAAACAAAAAAGUGGCCUUGAUUUUCAAGGAGAAAUUACACAGGAAGAAAAAAAUGUUUUUAAUCUAAUUAAGAGCGAUCUUUUCACCUUCAUCACAACAUCACGGAAAUGUGCCAGUUCUUAACUUCACACAAUAAUCAAAGCAAUUAAGGAGAAGCCUUGGAAACUGGUGCAGAUGUUCUCAGAAUGUUUAAUGGGGAAAUGAGUUGCAGGCCUCAUUCUUAGCAUCCGGCUCCAGGCCCUGGCUACCAAAUCCAGACAUCUGCUGGGGCCCCACCCCCAGGCCUGGAGGGCGUGUGCUUGAGAAACACAGGUCUCUUCCCAGGCUGCCUCCAGCGAGGCCAGAUCUGGGGCCCCAGAGGCUCCCCAUGAUUCCUCAAGCCAGAGCCUGGACAUAGUCAGAAUCACCUCAGAGCUAGGGGGAAGCUUAAUGUCAAAAUUAUGUUAACAACUGAUGUCAAAAGUAAUCAACUCAAACUGGCUCCCCCACUCCUGCUGGCUGCAGAAGGACUAUGAGCAGAAGAGGGGAGGGCACAGAGCCCCUGGCAGGGGCUGGGGGAAACUCUUCAUUGACCUCCUCAGCAUGAACACCAUGAAAAGGUGUGGCAGCAUUAGUGCAGUGUAACUCUGUGGGCCUUGGCUUAGCAUUGUUAAACUAGACACAAGAAUCAAACUGGUCCAUCUUUGAGGAAUUUCCAAGAAUAAUCAGAAACUAUGUAGAAAUGAGGAUGCUGCUUACUUAGGAAAUAGCCUGUUUUAAAGAACAGAAGGGCAUACAACUAAACUUGAAUGGCUUGAGAGUAAAGAACUUGCUAUACAGGCAGCUCAUUAAACCACGUUGGAAUCCCUGCUGUGUGGCACACACAAAGAACACAGAGGUAAGGAAAACAUCCCUAGUUUUGAGGACACAUAGGCAGUAUGGGUCCUCACACAUGUACAACUUUUAGCAUUAAUGUUCUCUUUAUAUCAAAGGCUUCUUAAUACAAGAAAUACCAUGUAUGUCUCCCGGGGCCUGUUUUACUGCAUACAGGGUAGGCCAAAGACAAUGGAAAGAAACUUCUCAAAGUAAGCCUUCAGUGGCAGUCAAUACUUCAUCUUCACUUCACUAGUGGAACCUUAAUGAGUGUUGCAAGCCAAUUUCCAACUGCUCAAUGGAGUGCUUUCUUAGGAAGUGGCAGGCACAAGUUUCUUACUAUUCUUUGUCCAUGCAACUAGCUCAAGAAAGUGUGAUAGGAAUGGGGAUAAAGUAUUUAAGAAUGAAAGUAGCAUGAUGCACUUUUUAUCAAUAGGAUUUUGGGGACUGCUAUGUAUAGAGUGUAGCAAAGAGAAAACAAGAGAAUUGGGAGGCCAGUGAAGAGUGAAAGGGAACCAUCAAAAACCAAAACAAAAAACAACAACAAAAAUCCCAAACAAGACAAUGGUAGUUGCACAUGCCUUUAAUAGAAGCACUCAAGAGGCAGAGGCAGGCAUAUCUCUGAGUUGGAGGCUUGCCUAAUCUAUAGAGGGAGCUCCAGGACAGCCAGGGCUACACAGAAACCAUGUCUUGACACACACACACUACAAAAUAAAACAAGACAAAAAAAAAAACCUCAACAACAUCCAAAACACCCCCCCCAAAUAAAUAUGGUGGCAUUAGCAGGGGAAGAAGCUGUAGCUAUCAACAGUGGAAAAAUCAUAAAAACAUAAUUUUCAAAACUUCCAGGAAGGUUCCGAGAAUAACUUUUCUCAUUUAGACUUCAAAUCAAAAGUCUUAUCCUAAAAAUCAGAACAAGCAACCCUAACAUCAGUAACAGCAAAACAAAACCAUAUAUGAUCCAUCCUUUCAACAGUAGACAGAACACUAUAAAUUAGGAAUUAUCCAUGAGAGGAGAAUAUGCCCAACAUUGUUUGCCUGUGUGUGCAAAAGGCCAGAAGAGACUCUGUCAAAAGAGUGAGAAUGCUAAGUAGUGUCAACCAAAAUAAGGUGUCACUCUCCACAAAAAUACUUUUACAGAAACUCAGAAUUAAUGUCAGUGAUUACUUCUGGGGAGCAGUCAGUGAUUUAUAGCAACCAAGUGAACAUCACAAAAAAAACAGCACAAGUGGUAGUGUACCCAGCAAGAUGGCUCAGUGUGAAGAACAACUUUCUACAAAAAUGAUAGGACUUACGACUCGUCCUUAUAUACUUGCCUUCCCUUAUCCCACCCUGGUUUGGUGGCAGUGUAGAAGAUGGUAGAUUAUAUUACAAGUAUGGUCCCUGGCCUUUGUUUGUGGAGGAAGCAGUACAGAUUUUAUUCUAAAACAAUCAUUUUUGUUUCACAUUGUUUGGGGGAAGCCUGAAAGACUGAUGUGAAAACUGCAUUAUUUUUAAACUCAAUUCCAGAUUUACUCAGUGUGGAAAAUAGUGGAUAUUACUUGCAAACACCAUAAGACAUCAAAACAGUUAUAGUGAUUUUGGGAAGGAUCAGUUGAAGCAUACAAAAGACCACUUGAAAACCACAGAAGACAAUCUUCAGAGAUUUUCUCUGGAAGUUAAGGGCAUUUAAAGUAAUGGUGUGUGCUAAAGAACUCACAAAACAGCUGAUGUACAGAGCUGGAUGUUAAGAAAAGCCCUGGCAACAUUGGAAACCAUUGCCCUAUUGCAGAUUUCUAUGCUCAUCUCAAGCUACAAGUAAAAGCAAAGACAGGACUGUAAAUAGUCUGUCUAACUAUUGAAGAAAAACUCCAAUCCUGUUAAUUUGCAAAAGCUGGCAGAAUCCUGCUCCCCCACCUCUGAUUCCUACAAGAAAAUCUUUCAUAAUGAACUGAACAUAAGUGGAAAGAACAGAGACUUCAGAGACCACAUAGAGCUUCACACACACAAAAAUAGCUUAGGAGUCACUAAAAAUCACUUAUAGUCUGUAGCAUUAGAAAAAUAUGGAGGCAGAAAAGAAUCUAAUGUUCACAGUUAUAUAAAAUAUUGAAAGUAUAUAACUUUAAACAAAAGUUAUGAAAUAUACAGAGAAACAUUAACAGUAAAGUACAAAAGGCUUAAAGUAGCACAGACACCAGACCUUACAAAAAUAUUGUUUUUAAUUAGGCUAGGGAAUGGUUUAGCUGGUUAAGGGACUUGCUGCCUAAGUGUGGUGACCUGAAUUUGAGCUCCAGAACCCACAUAAAGAUAUAAGGAGAAAGUACACAACAUUGUUCCCUAACCUACAAAUGGACAUAAUGGAAUACAUACCUGAGUAAUAAUAAAAAGAAAUAGUCUAAAUUGUGCUGAAAGAGCAAAAGAAAAUGAUAGAAAAAGAAUUAAAGAAAACGGAGAAUAAUGGAGAAUGAAAUACAAGUUAGAAAAUGGAAUUAAACAAAUUUUGGAACUGAAAAGUAUGAACAAAUGAAAAAACCCAUUAGAAUUUAUCAGCAGAGCUGAAUGGAUACAAGAAUCAGUGGACUCGAGGAUCAAGUACAAUAACAAGUAUGAGCAUCAGAAAAAAAAAAACUGAACAUCCUGAGAGUUCUAUGAUAAACUACCAAAUAUACUGAUAUCUAUGUUGGAAAUCCUGGAUAGUAGGUGAAAGAAAGGGCAGGAAGAGUAAUUAAAGUUAUAGCUUGCCAAAUUUGAUUAAAGAUGCAAAACUUUAUGCCCAGGAGCAAAACCAAAAGGGUCCAGGAAGGAUAACAAAAAGUCACACAGAAAUAACUAUCAAUUGUUGAAAGACAAAACAGAUUAGGAAAAGUAAAAGAAACAUGGCUUAUCAUGUAGUGAUUCUCAAUACAAUUAAUAACAUGUUUGUCAUCAGCAAGUAUGGAGUCCAGGGGGAAUGAAAUAGCAUGUUCUAAAUACAGAGAAGAAAAGUUCUGUCAACAAAAUUUUUGUUCCAACAAAAUUACUCUAACAUCGAGAAAUUAAGAGCUUCUCAAGUGAAUAAAAUCUGGAAAGCUCAUACUAUAUUGGUUUUGCAAAAAAAGAGAGAAAAAAAUAAUUCAGGCUCAAAUAAAAAGGGAUUAAAAGUAACUAGAAUCCACAAAAACAAGCACAGAACUUGAGGACUAGGUAGCUACAUAAAAUAUAAAAGCCAGUAUUAUGUAUAGUAUCUAAGUUUUUAAAUGUUUAUUAUUUCUUGUGAUAAAAAUACGUGAUAUACAUAUCUACUAUCAAUCUUAUGGUAUUGGGGAUAUUCAUAUCAUAAAUAUACAACUUGAAAUUAUAUGGACUUGAAGAGAAUAGAGCUAGAUAGGAUCUUAAUUUUUCUAUGAUUUUGAAACUAUGUUGGUAUAAACUCAAACUAGAAUGUUAUAAAGUUAGGAUAUUAAGUGAAACUCUAGUCAAAUUAUUCAGGAAAAUGUCUUGAAAAUAUAUACUCUUCAACAUGUAAAAACCUUAUAAAUUAUCUCAACAAGUAAAAUGUUGAAUUGACUGAAAGCCAUUUCUAUAUCUGUAUUACAAAUGAAAAGAUUAAAAAUAUUAUCUCACUCAAGAUUAUCUUUUCUAAUUUCCAGCAUUUGACUGAAAAUUUUAUGAUUUCCCUGUUUUUAAUAGCUGAGUAGUAUCUUGAGUGAGGUAACCCAGAAGAAGAAAGACAUAUAUGUAUAUACUCAUUCCUAAGGGAGUUUUUAGACAUAUAACAUAGGAUAAACAUACUAAACUCUGUACUCCUAAAGAAGCAAAACAACAAGGAAGACCCUAGGGAAUAUGCUCAGUUCUCAUUCAGAAGGGCAAACGCAAUAGACAUUGGAAGCAGAAGAAGACAGGGCACAGGAUAGGAGCCUACCAUAGAUGGCCUCUAAAAGACUACUGAUCAAGGUAUCAAAGCAGAGGGUGAGACACAUAGCCAAACUUUGGGCAAAAUGCAUGGAAUUUUAUGUAAGAAGGGGGAGAUAGACAGACCUGGAGGGGACAGGAGCUUUAAAAGGAGACCAACAGAAAGAAAAAAACAAAACAAACAAACAAAUAACUGUGCCCUGGGGUCCCUUUAGAGACUGAUACCCCAACCAAGGACCAUGCAUGGAGAGGACAUAAAACUCCUGUUUAGAUGUAGCCCAAAGACUCAGUCUCCAAAUGGGUUCCCUAGUAAGGGGAGCAGGGCUGUCUCUGGCAUGAACUCAGUGGUAGGCCCUCUGAUCACCCCCCCAUGGGGGGAGGGGUACAGGCUUGCCAGGCCACAGAGGAAGACAAUGCAGCCAGUCCUGAUGAGACCUGGCAGGCCAGAGUCAGAGAAUGGGAGGAGGUCCUCCUCUAUCUGUGAACUAGGGAAAGUGCAUAAGGGGAGGAGAGGAAGAGAGGGUGGAAUUAGGAGGAGACAAGGGAGGGGGCCAUAGCUGAGAUUCAAAGUGAAGAAAUUGUAAUAAAUAAUAAUCAUUUAAAAUAAAUAAAGAACAAAGCGAAUAAAGUGUAAUGUAAAAAAUAAAAAUUUAAUUAAAAAUAGACAAUAAACAUCACAGAAAUUAAAAAAAAAAUAAAUAAAAAAGAAAAAAUAUCUCCAAAAUGAGGGAGAAGUGAGAGGAAGGGAGAGAGAGAAAGAAAGAGAUACAUAGACACGGAGAAUGGAGAAUCAGAACAUACUACAAUAGAACUUGCUGGAAUCAGCUUGGGUAGGAAAACCUAAUUCGUGGUUGAACUGCUGAAGUUUAGAUAAGGACAAAUGUAAAAGGUAAAAAGUCAAAGGUACUUAGUUUGGGGGAAAGCUUUAAAAGUUUCAUGAAUUACUUCCUCCAGGAGCUUGGUCAGAUUGUUAUACCUAGUACUAGAGAAGAAUUCUCCUGAAACUUUCAAUAUUGGGGAGAAGGGGAAGAACCAUUUUAGAAAUAAAUAAUAGUGUUUUUCUUAGAAGGGUUUACUCUUAUGGGAAAUUAUACUAGAUCCUAACCAGCUACUGUUUAUAACAGCCUAGCUCACUUAAAGCAAGGUUCCUCAAUUCUAACCAGCUCUAGACAUUUUUUGUGUGGAAAAGAAAUAUCCAAACAUCAUAACAGUUCACUGUAGCCAUCCUAUGCCACACAAGAAGAGAGAAAAAUAUUGAAGAACAGUUGUGAAGUUCAAUCAAGAGGCUUAAGAUUAGUAAAAGUGAGAUUGAACCAUAGAACUAUGGAAUGCCUCUCAUACUCUAAACCUUUCUCUUUUAUUAGUAAAGAUCAGCAGCAUCUAAAAGACAACUUUUGAAAAUACAGCAAUCAUCAGGGCAGACAUUCCAGAUUUGUUGAAAUUAUCACAGAUGUUUGAACUGUGAAACAGAAGAAGGCAACAUUGAAGGACAAUAUCAACAAAGGGACCAAAGUCAUAGAAAAAUAUGAAAGUGCUGGGAACCAGAAAUUUCAAUGCAUUAAAAAUACUCUUCAUGGACUCAUUUGAUUGCACACAGCUGAGAAAAAAUUUCAGAUUACCUUUUUGUACAAGCAACUAAAACUAAAAAACAAAAAUGAACAAAAUACAGUGAGAAUUUGGCUGACUUGUUAAAGUGCUUGCCAUGUAAGUACAGGACCUUAGUAUGGCUCUCAGAUCCUAAGUAAAAAAGCUGGGCAUAGUGUGGAGACAUUAUAAGAUAUGCAGAUCCCUAGCAAUCCUAGAAAUAGACACAGAGAAGCCAAAGAAACAUUUGAAACAACAGUAACUAAAAAUUUCCUACAAAUUAGUAUCAUACACUAAACCAUAUGCCCAAGAAGCUGACAGAACACCAAACAGGAUAAACACCAAAACCUGCAUAUAAGCUUAUCAUUAUCUACAGGAAAUCAAAUAUUUAAAAAGUCAUAGAAGAGCACUCUUCUAUAAAGUAGCAACCAUACAAACUAUAUUCAAUCUCUCCUAUGAAACCAUGUAAGCAAGAAAAGUGGAGUGAAAAAAACAAAGCGCCUAUAUAUUAUUCUGUACUCUGGAAUUGUCUUUCAAAAGUGAAGAAAUACUUUCUCAGAUAAAGAAAAUGUGACUACAGUUAUGGCUAGUUGACUCUCUUUAUAAGGAAUGUUGAAGUCUUGUAGACAGAAGGAAUAUAGGUAUGAAACUGAGACAGACCUAAAGAAAGGAAGGAAGAACAUCAAAGGUAAGUGAAUGUAAACUAUUACCUUUUAUUUUAAAAUAAGCCUAACAGGUAGAAUUUAUUCAAAACAAUUGUUUAAUUACAUUUACAUAUACCUAAGUGAAAUGAAUGGCAAUGAUGAUUUUAAAAAGAAGAUGGAGUUAUGGUUACUUUAGGUCAUACCAUAUGUUAAUUGGUAUGUUAUUAUUUGAAAGUGGUCUUAGAUGAAAAGUGGAUACAAAAUCCAGAGAAUUAUCCAAAACAGAAAAAAUGCAGUGUAAGAAGUAUACAGAGAGAAAGAGAGAGUGAGAGUGAGUUCAAAACUCAAAAGAACCAUAGACAUUACAGGUCUCAGUAGUUUUAUAGAUAAUAAUCCUAGUAAACUAACUUUUCACAAAAAUAUAUAGCAAAACCAGUUUGUAUUCAGCAGGUUGUAUCAGCAGUCUCCUGGGUUCAUGGUACCAGAGUCUCACACAUAAUCACGUGUUUACAGUAGAUUUCAGAUCAGCCAUUGGUCUUACUAGACAAAUACUUGAAGUAGCUAUUUCGAAGAGUUAAAGACAUUAGUAAAUAUAAUAAAAAUAUAAGCUAUAGAGUAGGAAAAACAGCAAAGAACUCCCCAAAACUUAGUAGGACUGGUACUGUAGUCCGACGGCAGUACAGUAUUUGUUCAUUCUAAACAAAUCUUAAAGUUUCAACUUCAUCAAUUAAAAAAAAUAUGUACGACUGAAUUUUGCCUUCUGAUUUAAAAAGUUCAAAGAUAAUCUGAGGUUAAAUAAAUGGCAAGUUUUAUUAAUGUGAAUCAGUUUCAGCAGGAGAAACAACUUCAUUCAGCAUGGAUAUUAAGGAUCCACAUCUCAAAUCCAAUUUCCAGAAGCACAAUGGUGUUGAAAAAAGCCAGGCUUCUAAAGAAGAUUAUCCCAUGCCUCAGCCAGUUCAAUAAAAUCUACAAAACCAUCAAAUGUGAGAAGUGGUCUAUUGUGAAGAUUAAGAAGGCAAUGAAGAACAAGCUUAUGUUAGAUCAUCAAUUUGAGUACAUUGAUGAGGACUUCAAAAUUAGCUAAGAAUGUGGAAAGACAGGAGACAGGUAACUUUUGCCAUGUUCUCAAAUCAAAAGCCUUUUAAAAUGCAAUAUUUAGUUUGAACAUUUAUUUCCUGAGGAUUUAAAAGAUCCUAAGGUGGGAAUGCUCUUUAAAAAAAAAAGAUGGUUAUAGAUAUCAUGUGGAAGUAUCUUUUCUAAGAAGUUAAUACAAAAGCUUUUAUGUUUUUACAAAGGCAAGAUUUAUGAAAAGAUGCACAGGAUGAUGAAGAAUAGUAUACUGAAAAUAUCUCAGUUGUAAAACAUCUCAAUUGUAGGUGAAGAAGGUUGUGAACUUAAUUGAAGGCCUUUGAAGAAAUCUGUGAUGCCAAAUAGCUUCUCUUUUCCUCUCUCCCUUGUCCCCAUCUUUCUUUAACAUAUCAGAUGGCUUGAAUUUAGUGCUGUGAUAUUAGCAAGGUGUCUUGGAAUCUAAUAAGUAAGCCAAUAAGUUAGACCCAGAAGCCAAAGAAGUUUAAUAAAUGCACUGAAGACACACGAGCUGAGUUCCACUUACAAGGAAGAUUUCAAUAAUGUAUAUCAUGUUGAGAAAAUUAUUUUCCUCCCCUAAAACCACGAUAUUAGCGAAUAAAAUAUGACACAUGGAACUAUUUGAACCCGAAGUUUGAAAAUGGGAAAUAAAUGGAAAUAUAUGAGAAAACAUACACGGGAAGACAAAACUGUGAAGAAUAAGUACAAAGAGUAAAAACUAUUAGUAAUAUGUUAGACAUUAUUCCACAUAGACAAUUACUAAGCAUCUUAAAGUCUAUUAAAUUCUUGAUUGUCAUGGUGUUUAAAAUAAACAGGACCCAACUAGUAUACUGCUUACAAGAAACCUUCACGUAUAAUGACAUACAAAGUAAACAUAAGCAAAAUAAAAAAUAUCUAUAGUGUUAACACUAGUCAAAAGAAAGUGUAUUUCAGUAUUGAGAUGGAGUGGACUGCAAGUAAGCAAAGACAACAAUUUGCCAAGAAGAUGAAAUACCUAUAAUGUGUAUGUUUUUCAAAACACACAACUUUAAAAUCUGAUAGAACUUAAAGGCAUUAUACUCUUUUAGACUUGAAUACUUUCAUACUCCUGUUAAAAAUAAAUACUUCUAGUAUGAAAUUCAUUCAGGACUUAACCGAAAUGAAUCUUUUCAUUCAUUAACCAUACAAUAUAUCUAUAUAUAUCCUCAACAACAGAAUAUACACUAUUCUUAUGUUUAAAUGUAUUUAACCAAGAUCAAUAAUUUUUGGACAUACAACACAUCCUAACAAAGCUGAAAGAAUACAAAUGGACUGAUGGAGUGCCGCCAAAGUACAAUUAAUUUUCAAAGAAUAGGAAAAUAGAGAAAAAAACCUUGAAAUCCUAAGACCUGAAAAUUAAGCAAGCAUGUCUAAAUAAACAUGUGGUUCAAAGAAGAACUCUGAAGAUAAAUUUUUUACAUUGUAACAUCAAGUUUGUGAUGCAGUGAAAACUGUAUGAAGUAGUUUUUAUAGCAUUGAAAAUAAAGUAUUGACAAUAAAUUAUACUUUCAGCUUUAAGAGAUUGAACAACAACAGGAAAGAAAGAACAAUAGAAAUUAGAGGAGAAAAUCAACAAAAUAAAAAGGUUAUUGCAUUAAUAACUAAGUAAAAAUGACAAAUUCUUUAAUCAGGCUAGCUAAACAAGAAAGACAAGGCAUGAAUCACUAAUGCUAGACACAAAAGAUGGAAUAAUGGAUUAAAAUAAAUGAAGUAGACCAAUUUCUUGGAAAAUAUAAUGUGUCAAGUGUUGCAAAGAAGACAUUAAUGUCAAAAGUCAACCUAAACAGCACCAUGCUCAGAAGAGUUUACUGAUUAAUUCUGACAAAUAUUUAAAGAACUUGUAUCAAAUUUUCUACAAUGUCUUUCAGAAGGUAGAAAAUAUUGCCUAACUCAUUUGUUGAAGCCAAAUUGUCCUAAUUUCCAUAGCAAACACAUUCUAAGCAAGCUGUACAUAUAAAACAACAUACUGCAAAACAUUAAUAUGCCAAAUCUUAAGAAUAUCAAAGCUGUUCAAGGCUAUGAAACAUUGAAAACUCAGUUAAGUGAUCACAAGAAGCAAAAAUACUGUUACAUAGUUAUGUCACUGAACACAAAUAUGCAUCUGACAAAAAUCUCUAGCAACUCAUGGUAAAAAGUAAUAACUCUGGAACAUUAAAACCUCAGGUAAGUAUUCACAAGAAGCAAAAAAGAAGUUACAUGAUUAUAUCACAGGACACAAUAAUGCAUCUGACACAAUACUAACUCCUGAUUUAAAAAAGCUCAUUGGAACAUUAAAAACCCAGGUAAGUAAUCUCAAGCAGCAAAAAGAAGUUACAUGACACAAUUUACAACUCUUACUAAUGAGAAUAAAAUCCCAAGAGCUCUGGACAUUAAAAACUAAGGUAACCUGAUCACAAGACAGAAGAAGCAAAAAGAAAUUACAUGAUUAUUUCACUAGACUAAAAAAUCUGAUAACAUUCCUUACCAAUUCAAGAGCAAAACAAAACAACAAAAACCUCUGGAACAUUAAAAUCUCAGGUAAGUAAUCACAAGAACCCAAAAGAAAUUAUAUGAUUAUAUCAUUGGACACAAAAGUGCAUCUGUUUGACAAAAUCUUUUACUAAGUCAUGAUUUAAAAAAAAAACAACAACUCUGGAACAUUAAAAAUUCAGGUAAGUAAUCACAAGAAGUUACAUGAUUGUAUUACUGAACACAAAAAUGCAUCUGACAAAAUUCCACACCACACGUAAUUACAAAAAACACAACCAACAACUCUGGAAAAUUAAGAAUUCAAGUAAGUGAUCACAAGAAGCCAAAAGAAAAUACAUGAUUAUAUCAUUGGACACAAAAAUGCAUUGGACAAAACUCUUUACCACCUCAUGAUUAAAAAGAAAAAUAACUCUGGAACAUUGAAAAUUCAGGUAAGUGAUCACAAUACACAAGCAAAAAGAAGUUACAUGAUUACAUCAGUAGACACAAAUCUAACAACAGUCUUUACCAACUCAUGAUCAAAAUAGAACAAACAACAAAAACCUCUGGAACAUUAAAAUCUCAGGUGAGAAAUCACAAGGAGCCAGAAGAAGUUAAAUGAUUAUUUCACGGGACACAAAAAAUACAUUUGACAAAUAUUCUAUACCAACUCAUGAUUACAACAAACAAACAGACAGACACAACCAACAACUCUGGAACAUUAAAAAUUCAGGUAAGUGAUCACAGACAUAAGAAGCAAAAACAAGUUACAUGAUUAUAUCAGUAGACACAAAUAUGACAACAUUCUUUACUAACUCAUGAUCAAAACAAAACAAACAAUAAAAACCUCUGGAACAUUAAAAUCUCAGUUGAGAAAUCACAAGAAGCCAGAAGAAGUUAAAUGAUUAUUUCACUGGACACAAAAAUACAUUUGACAAAUAUUCUAUACCAACUCAUGAUUACAACAAACAAACAGACACAACCAACAACUCUGGAACAUUAAAAAUUCAGGUAAGUGAUCACAGACAUAAGAAGCAAAAACAAGUUACAUGAUUAUAUCAGUAGACACAAAUAUGACAACAUUCUUUACUAACUCAUGAUCAAAACAGAACAAACAACAAAAACCUCUGGAACAUUAAAAUCUCAGUUGAGAAAUCACAAGAAGCCAGAAGAAGUUAAAUGAUUAUUUCACUGGACACAAAAAUACAUUUGACAAAUAUUCUAUACCAACUCAUGAUUACAACAAACAGCACAACCAAUAACUCUGGAACAUUAAAAAUUCAGGUAAGUGAUCACAGACAUAAGAAGCAAAAACAAGUUACAUGAUUAUAUCAGUAGACACAAAUAUGACAACAUUCUUUACUAACUCAUGAUCAAAACAAAACAAACAAUAAAAACCUCUGGAACAUUAAAAUCUCAGUUGAGAAAUCACAAGAAGCCAGAAGAAGUUAAAUGAUUAUUUCACUGGACACAAAAAUACAUUUGACAAAUAUUCUAUACCAACUCAUGAUUACAACAAACAAACAGACAGACACAACCAACAACUCUGGAACAUUAAAAAUUCAGGUAAGUGAUCACAGACAUAAGCAAAAACAAGUUGCAUGAUUAUAUCAGUAGACACAAAUAUGACAACAUUCUUUACUAACUCAUGAUCAAAACAGAACAAACAAUAAAAACCUCUGGAACAUUAAAAUCUCAGUUGAGAAAUCACAAGAAGCCAGAAGAAGUUAAAUGAUUAUUUCACUGGACACAAAAAUACAUUUGACAAAUAUUCUAUACCAACUCAUGAUUACAACAAACAAACAGACAGACACAACCAACAACUCUGGAACAUUAAAAAUUCAGGUAAGUGAUCACAGACAUAAGAAGCAAAAACAAGUUACAUGAUUAUAUCAGUAGACACAAAUAUGACAACAUUCUUUACUAACUCAUGAUCAAAACAAAAGAAACAAUAAAAACUUCUGGAAUAUUAAAAUCUCAGUUGAGAAAUCACAAGGAGCCAGAAGAAGUUAAAUGAUUAUAUCACUGGACACAAGAAUGCAUUUGAUAAAAAUUCUAUAUCAACUCAUGAUUACAAAAACAAAACAAAACAAAACAAAAAAACAAAAAACCACAAAAACCAAAAAAAAAAACAAAACCAA